GCAUUUUUAGCUCAACUGGAUAGAGCAUUAGCCUUCUAAGCUGCAGGUUAUAGGUUCGAGUCCUAUAAAAUGUU
rnacentral:tRNA from 1 species